AUUAGGGCUCAAGCCUGGAGGGCGAGAGCCCUAUUGUUUUCCUUAGGAUUAUUUUUUAUUAUUAGGGCUCAAGCCUGGAGGGCGAGAGCCCUAUUGUUUUCCUUAGGAUUAUUAGGGCUCAAGCCUGGAGGGCGAGAGCCCUAUUGUUUUCCUUAGGAUUAUUUUUUAUUAUUAUUAUUAUUAGGGCUCAAGCCUGGAGGGCGAGAGCCCUAUUGUUUUCCUUAGGAUUAUUUGUUAUUAUUAUUAUUUAUUAUUAUUAUUUUUCUUCAAGGUUUCGGGGGCUUUUGGGGCCCUUAACAUGCUUAAAAAGUCUUGAAAAUUGGCACACACAUUGGAACCUGCGGCCAUUAGGGCUGGGCAGAGACUGAUACACGGGCGUGGCACAGAGGCUCUACAGCGCCCCCUGGAAUAUGGAGGGCCAUAUAUCAUACAUACUUGCACGUAGACGCGCGAAACUCGGUACACAUAUAGAACUCAUCAAUACAAACAACUUUCGUAUUGCAUAUCAUAGGCUCCGCCCAACAGGAAGUUGGCUAUUUAGGGUUUAUUAUUCAUAUUUGUCGUCAAAGUUGUGGGGGCUUUUGGAGUCCUUAACAUACUCAAAAACUCUUGAAAAUUUGCACACACCUUUGGAUCUGUGGCCUUUAGGAGCCUGCAGAGGUUGGGACCCGGGCGUGGCACAGGGGCUCUACGGCGCCCCCUGGAUCACAGUUAUAAAUGUUGAUGUAUAGCUCACACAUACUUGCACGUAUUAAUAUGAAACUCAGUACACAUAUAGAUCUCAUCGUGCCGAACAACUUGCGUAUUGCAUGUCAUAGGCUCCGCCCAACAGGAAGUCAGCUAUUUAGAGUUAUGUAAAAAGCGCAUGCUCUGGAAUUUGAUAUACUUGUCAUAGGUUUUUUACUCGAUUGCCACCAAACUCGGUCAACAUGAUCUCAAGACAUUGGGGAUGAAAAAUUGCCAGGGGAUUUUUGAUAUCUCGAACGGUUUGCUCGUGGCGAGGCUUUGAAAUUAUGGCGAGAAAUGAGAAACAGGAAGUGUCUAAUACCAUCCACAUACAUUUCCUAAUUUUAAUCAAACUUCAUCAGAUUAUUCAUUGUAUGAUGUCGAUCGCAUAUAUGUGACUAUUAGGAGUCAAAGUUAUAGCGCCACCAAGUGGCAGCAGGAAGUGUGUCAUUUUCAAAAUGCUUUGAAUUCAGCAUCUUAUUUUUACUCGAUUUGCUUCAAACUUCAUCAGAAUAAUGUUAAAACACAGCCGAUAUAAAUCUGCUGGGGGGAUAUUGAUAUCUAAAAAUAUUGUUGCCGUGGCAACAUGUCAAACUGGAAUACUUCUCAGGUGAUUUUGAGGCAUAUAACAUGCUUAGAAUUUCAUCAAACUCAGAACACAUAUCAGUAUUAGUGACAGCUAGACACUGGCAAAAGUUCAUAAGAGGGUGUGGAAGAGGCACUCUAUAGCGCCACCUUUUGUCAAAAGUGGGGGGGUUAGUUUUAGCUACAAACACCAAACUCAGUACAAAAAUUGUUCUUUUUAAGACGGACAACUUUCUAAUUCACAGUCAUCAGCUACGACCAACAGGAAGUCGGCUAUUUUGAUUUGAAUGUGGAUUUUUUUUACAUUUAGCUGUGAAUUAAUGCAUACUGCUCAGAGGAGAGUAACACUAUACACACCAAACUUGGUGUACAUGUUGAAAAAACAUUGAGGAACUUAAAUUGUGAAUGGGUUUUGGAUAGCUUGGAUGGUUUUGUCGUGGUGAUUUUUUUUAAAUGACAAUAAAGAUGGAACUAUUAAUUUUCCUGCAUUUUUAAAUUCCAAACACUUCAAAACCUUUUUUCAUACAGAAAAAAAGUUAUUCUGAGUAAAUAUGCAUAGUUUAAUGACUUUACAACACUGUAUGGAUAACAGAAAAUUAAAAAACUGUCAGACAUCUCA